ensembl:lncRNA
AAAAAAAAGUGUAGUGACUUAAGCAAGUUUAGUUAACAACAUUCUUCAAAAUAUCUGUUUCACAAAAGAAAAAUGACAUUUAGGUUUAAAUAGACAUGAAUAAUUAAUGAGAGAAUUUUCAUUUUGGGGUGAAUUAUCCCUUUAAUGUGUGUUUUAUUAAAAUGGAAAUGUGAAAUUAUGAAGAAACUAAAACUGCCAGUAAUGAGUAGACUUUGGGCUGCGUUUGAAAUCGCAUACUUCCCUACUAGGCUAUACAGUAGGUGAAAAACAGUAUGUGACAAAGGAAUUAUGUCCAAAUUUACAGUACUCAUAAAAGAGUAGGCAAAAGUACUCAGAUGACCUACUACUUCCGGCCUGAUUCUGAAUGUACAGCACUUUGAUCCAUUUAUAUGGUUUUGAAAGUGCUUUAUAAAUAAAGAUUGAGUUGAGUUUAAAAUGUGAAACGGCUCGCCACCAGCACAAACAAUCUCUGUAAUGACCUCUUUCUCAAUCAGAUUUAUACUGUAAUGUUUUUGCUGUAAACACAUGAUGCAAACACAGUUCUCUUUCAAAGGGAAGACCUCAGUGUCUGGGUUUGUAACCUGGUGUCAUGAUUGUAAGCUUCUCUAAUCACAGGAGAUGAUUCAGUCAGACAGUAACACAAUUAGCUAUAAUCUGUUUUCUUGAAGGUCUGACUGAACUCACCACACUCGCACCUUUAGCACACAGAGUCUAGUUUUAGAAGAAGACUGAACGUUCAGCUUCACAAACGGCUCGAAAUGGAGGCAAAGUGGAUGAUUAUAUUGUUCUCAACAUGCUGGAGUUUCUGUGCUGCUGUAAAUGAGUUCUACUCUUCAACAGAUCAUAUGACGCAGCUUAUUGACAUCAAAACACAGUUUGCCAAGAGUCUUCAUGAAUAUACAGAAGCACUGGAGAGCCGAGCAGAUCUUCUGAGAGGGUAAGUGUUGCUUGUGGGGCUGAUAGUGUAUCAAGAUACAUAGAAGAGAUUAAAUGAACUGUUUUGUGAGCCCAGUUUUGUCA